rnacentral:rRNA from 1 species
GAUGAACGCUGGCGGCGUGCUUAACACAUGCAAGUCGAACGGGAAUUACUUUAUUGAAACUUCGGUCGAUUUAAUUUAAUUCUAGUGGCGGACGGGUGAGUAACGCGUGGGUAACCUGCCUUCUACAGGGGGAUAACAGUCAGAAAUGGCUGCUAAUACCGCAUAAGCGCACAGAGCUGCAUGGCUCAGUGUGAAAAACUCCGGUGGUAUAAGAUGGACCCGCGUUGGAUUAGCUAGUUGGUGGGGUAACGGCCCACCAAGGCGACGAUCCAUAGCCGGCCUGAGAGGGUGAACGGCCACAUUGGGACUGAGACACGGCCCAGACUCCUACGGGAGGCAGCAGUGGGGAAUAUUGCACAAUGGGGGAAACCCUGAUGCAGCGACGCCGCGUGAAGGAAGAAGUAUCUCGGUAUGUAAACUUUUAUCAGCAGGGAAGAUAAUGACGGUACCUGACUAAGAAGCCCCGGCUAACUACGUGCCAGCCGCCGCCGUAA